GCACAAGCGGUGGAGCAUGUGGUUAAUUCGAAGCAACGCGAAGAACCUUACCAGGUCUUGACAUCCCCUGACAACCCAAGAGAUUGGGCGUUCCCCUUCGGGGGACAGGGUGACAGGUGGUGCAUGGUUGUCGUCAGCUCGUGUCGUGAGAUGUUGGGUUAAGUCCCGCAACGAGCGCAACCCUCGCCCCUAGUUGCCAGCAUUCGGUUGGGCACUCUAGAGGGACUGCCGGCGACAAGUCGGAGGAAGGUGGGAUGACGUCAAAUCAUCAUGCCCCUUAUGUUCUGGGCUACACACGUGCUACAAUGGCCGGUACAGACGGACGCAAAGCCGCGAGGUGGAGCAAAUCCUAAAAAGCCGGUCUCAGUUCGGAUUGCAGGCUGCAAUUCGCCUGCAUGAAGUCGGAAUCGCUAGUAAUCGCAGGUCAGCAUACUGCGGUGAAUACGUUCCCGGGCCUU
rnacentral:rRNA from 1 species